ACAAAGAGCAGAUUAUAAGGGCUAUAGUUGCAGUAACACUGCAUAUGCAAUGGCAAGCUAGGAACUCAUUCCAUGGGAUGGUUUGGAAAUUGGAACUUGAGAAAGGCAGCAUGGGAAAAAAAAGAGAGCAUUCGAGGCCUCAAGAGCAUUAUUUAUGUAAUCUUAUAUGGAACAUCUUGUUGCACCGUUCAAGGUUUAGACGGGGUCCCUUUAGGAGGUAAAUAAUUGUCCCCCACGCAGAUGAUUUUACCAUUACGAAUGAGAGCGCAUCUACCACCACUGUACUGCUGCCUGAUGGUGCAGCAAUUCUGACAGUGUUCCGGGAAUAUUACAUCGCCGCAUUGGAGGAUAGAGUCGGCAAGGCAUUCCUUCGUGCAAGCUGCAUGAAACACGUUUAGCGAACCCCCAUGAAAUGGAGACUCGACUCAGAUGAAUAAAGAUCGCUGGAUUCAGCAUUUUGCUUCCUUACCUUGAGCUUCUGUUUUUCCCAGCAGCACCAGCAGAGCUGCGAGCAGUAAGCAGAGCGAAAAUAAGUGAGACCUCAUUGUGGGCGACGAGGAGUAAGAAGCGAUGCUUGAAUGCUUGCUUUCGUGGGGAUUUUAUAGUCAGCUGGAUUUUCUGCUGGAUAGAAAGUUCCUGGCCUGUGCUUCUCUAGUGAUGUGUUUGUAUCUUUGCGCUCCUGGUUUAGCAUGCCGUACACGGAAAGCGCAUCGACGAAAGGUGAGCGAUGAUUUUUUAUCCUGAUUAUCGUGUGCUUAUCCUGAUUUUCGUGUGCUCGGUGUUCUUGGUAGCCCAGUCAAGAAAGUACCAGAGUUGAAUAUGAGAUGAAGCUACAGAACGUCAAAGAAACACGUGGAAAGAACGCAUGAAAAUUCGAUGGUUAGGCUUUUGGAGGAGGCAUAAAAAGUCUCUCAAAACCUGCAACUUGAGGAGAUUUUACAAAUUUUCCUGUCAAGGACGUAGUAUCCUCGACCCCCAUAGCUGCAGCCUUUAGGAGCACUGUUUCCUGGAACGCUAUGCUUCACGGCUAUUCUGGCGACUCAUUGUUAUUAAGACAAGUUAUUCUUUUAAAACCAGGCCAGAACCUGUCCAACCCAAUGGAGCAUUUACAAGCAAGAUUGGAACAACUGCCAAGGGUCACUGUAGACCAGAAAUAAGGAUGCUGCGCGGGUACACAUGCCUUCAUCAAAGUCACGAGAAGGCAUCCUUUCAAGGUAUUCUCUUGGUAUUAAUCAUAGCCAAUUGUGAAAGGUGUUCUGCUAUCCAGCUUAGCGGCUCAAAAUGCUAUACAUGGUAUCCACAGGGAACAACCUCACUGAAGAAGCUAGAGCAGCAUUUCUGGAGGAAUUUAAAAGAGCAGUGUAUGCAACGUGGUUGGCUUGGAAUGGCAUCGUGUGGAGCAGCUCUUGGGCCUCUGGUAUCUUGCCGGCCCGGCCAAGGAUGUCGAUCAUACAGCAGUAGUGAUCAAUUGUCUCAGCGAUGGAGUGAUUGAAGCUCAUGGAGAAGAAGUGGUGGAUUGCCAGAGCGAGCAAGCCAAUGUGGUUACAGGCGAUCAAGGUGGCGAUGAGAGUGGUGGCAUCGGGCUCUACUCCUUCACACGCCAUCCUCUUGUAAAGAUCCAAGGUUUCUACGGCGUGGGCGUUCUUGGCAUAGCCAUGAAGCAUCGCGUUCCAGGAAACAGUGUUCCUCUCCGGCAUUGUCUCAAAGAUCUUGCGUGAUCGAUCAAGACGUUGCUGCUAUGGCCUUGAGAGGGAUCGCUCCUCAAUUUCCCCAUCUUGGGCAUGUGCUACAAGAACAAGUUCCAGGCCAGUGGUUUUUCUGAGGGAAAGGUUUCGAGAAGAUUUUGUGCUUCCUCCAAACCAGGCAAGAACCUAUGAGAAAAUGAUUAACAAUCCUACAUCGCAGGACUUUGAAGAAACAAAGCUCCCACCUCAGCAUCCGUCCGACCUCUAUAAGCUUGAGCAAGAUUGGAACGACUCGAAGGGGACCUCGCCGACCAGAAAUAAGGAUGCCGCGCAUGGUACACACACCUUCCCGUGAGCGUUCUUUCAAGGUAUUCACUUUCUGAACUAGUUGACAGGGGAAAAACGAAUGGCGCUGUUGUCAUGUAAAAUUGCUAAGCUAUCUUUGCGUCGUGCAGCGACAUGGUGGGAUCAAUGAGCAGGAAAUGACGGAGAAUGGUUUCGAACAAAGGAAAAGGUGAUUUUUCAUUCAUUCGUAUAAGCUUUUACUUUUGGUGGAGCAAGGUGGUGAACGAAACGGGUACUGCUGGAUGGUAUCAGCCAGGGAGAGGACGACACGGCUGUCCAUGGGCUACACCAGUGGGACGACCACGAAAUCAUAUGUGUGGUUCCUCACACUCAAAAGGAUUCGAGUAUGGAAUGUUGUGGCUGUUGUUGGAAGGAGCAACGUAAGGCUCGAGAAUGCGGGUCCUGUGAAAACCAGGUCAACAUAGAUCAUAGAAGAACGUCAGAGGUGCCAUCUCGUCAAAGCUUUGGAUGUCAAUUGUGGGAGGCGAGUCGGUGCUGCCCAAGGGGAUAAAGUUGCCACUCGCCACGGUGGUAGAGCCGUAUUGGAUGGGCGAUUCAUCCUUGAUACAGCAACUUCCAAUGCCAUCUUUCUCACUCCAGUGUUCUUGUGUUGCUUGUAACACUCUUAAACGCAGUAAAAUUGACGGGAGACAUUUUGGUUUAUAACCUUUAGUAUGAAUUUAGAAUAUACAGCUUUGUGGCUUGAUCUUUUAAGUCUGUUUUCCGUGCAGGUAGGUAAGACCUCGACUGAAGUUUCGACUUCCGAGUGCCAGUGUACGCAAUUUGUAAACCGCGUGACUUUUUCACCAUGGAAAAGGGGGUUUACAAAUUGCACUCCACCUGGAAAUGGAGUGUUGGCUUUUAAAAUCAUAACUUGCAACUUGUAAAAUGAAACGCACAAAAUGCUUGAACUUUGGCUAAAGCGUCUCCCCGACGUCUAGUUGCAGUAUUCUGACUCUUUGGGAAGGGCCCUGCGCAUCUCGUUUCUGCAUCUUUGUUUUUGAAUAAGAGCCCAGAACUACAAAGAGCAGAUUAUAAGGGCUGUAGUUGCAGCAACACUGCAUGCAAUGGCGAGCUAGGAACUCAUUCCAUGGGAUGGUUUGGAAAUUGGAACUUGAGAAAGGCAGCAUGGGAAAAAAAAGAGAGCAUUCGAGGCCUCAAGAGCAUUAUUUAUGUAAUCUUAUAUGGAACAUCUUGUUGCACCGUUCAAGGUCUAGACGGGGUCCCUUUAGGAGGUAAAUAAUUGUCCCCCACGCAGAUGAUUUUUCCAUUACGAAUGAGAGCGCAUCUACCACCAUUGUACUGCCGCCUGAUGGUGCAGCAAUUCUGACAGUGUUGCGGGAAUAUUACAUCGCCGCAUCGGAGGAUAGAGUCGGCAAGGCAUUCCCUCGUGCAAGCUGCAGGAGCGAACCCCCAUGAAAUGGAGACUCGACUCAAAUGAAUAAACAGCAUUUUGCUUCCUUACCUUGAGCUUCUGUUUUUCCCAGCAGCACCAGCAGAGCUGCGAGCAGUAAGCAGAGCGAAAAUAAAUGAGACCUCAUUGUGGACGAUCAGAAUGCUUGCUUUCGCCCGCUUUUGUGGGUAUUUUAUAGUCAGCUGGUCCUGGAGAAAAACGUGCCUGUACGAAAGGUGAGCGAUGACUGUCAGGUGUCUCCUAUUGUGGGCUCUACUUGACUUUCGUGUGCUCGGUAUUACAGGCGAUUGGCAGCCCAGUCAAGAAAGUACCAGAGUUCAAUAUGGGAUGCAACUACGAAACUACUGAAAAGAACGGGUGAAACUUCGAUUGUCAUAGGCUUGUGGAAGGUCUUCUCAAAACCCGACUGGAAAUUCGCACUACUUGGCCAUCUACCAGGAGAUUCGGGCGGCUCAAGCACAAGAGAGUGUAGAGAGAGAGUAGGAGGUAGAGAUGAUCCUUCUUCUUCUUAGUGGUCUUAUGCUUCAAAAGCAUAAGACUCCAAAAGCAUGUAUUGAAAGCACAUGCCUAAAGUGGGCAACUUUGAGGAGACUUUACAAACUUUCCUGUCAAGGACGUAAUAUUCUGGACCACCAUACAGCAUUUUCCCGCAUCUUGAUCAAUCACGCAAGAUCUUUGAGGAAAUGAACACUGCAUCCUGGAACGCUGGCUAUUCCCGUUGUUGAGAGAAGUUUUUUGUUCAAAUCAGACCAGAACCUAUUAUAACAAGAAACAGAACUACCACUCAGCAUCCGUCCAACCUCAAUGCAACAUUUAUAAGCAAAGAGAAAUAAGGAUACUGCGCAGGUACAUAUGGCUUCAUCAAAGUCAUGAGGUAUUCUCUUAAAACAGAAGUAAAACUUAUAGCUGAAGCAUGGUAUAUAAAGCCAAUAAUGUGAAAGGUAGCAUUUUGGGCAGCUAAGUUGGACAACAGAACAUACAUGGUAUCCACAGGGGAUGACCUCAGUGAAGAAGCUAGAGCAGCAUUUCUGGAGGAGUUUAAAAGAGCAGUGUAGGCAACAUGGUUGGCUGUGGAGCAGCUCUUGGGCCUCUGGGAUCUUGCCGGGGCGACCAAGGAUGGAGCGAGCAAGCCUGGCGAUGAGAAUUGGCAUCGGGCACACGCCAUCCUCUUGUAAAGAUCCAAGGCUUCUACAGCAUGAGCGUUUUUGGCAUAGCCAUGAAGCAUUGCGUUCCAGGAAACAGUGUUCCUCUCCGGCAUUGUCUCAAAGAUCUUGCGUUCGAGACGCCCAAACUGCAAACAUGCUGCUGCCAUGGCCUUGACAGGGAUCGCGCUCCUCAAUUUGGCCAACUUGGGCAUGUGCUGCAUGAACAAGUUCCAGGCCAGUGGUUUCUCUGAGGGCAAGGUUUUGAGAAGAUUUUGUGCUUCUUCCAAGCUAUCGUUUAUAUCAUCAAAGCCCAAGACAUUCCAUUUUAUCUUGGAAUCGAAUAUUUCGCGCGCUGCCAUAGCACGCAAGCAUGGCGUUCCAGGUGACCACGUUUCGAUCCCUGGCCCCGUCAAAUACUUCCUUCUUUUAAAUGCCCGCCGCGAGACGAGGAUCAUCCAGGAGACGACGCUCCACGCCGGCAUUGCGUGGAACAAUCGCAAGGUUUCGUCCACCAGGCCUCGCUCGGCGUGCGCCUUGCAUGGCGCUGUUCCACGCCACGACGUCCAGUUCCGGUAUUCGAUCGAAGAAGAGCUCGAAGGUACGCUUGGAGCAUUGCGUUCCAGGAGAAGAUAUCGCGGCAAGGCAUGGCGCAAACAGGGAGUUCGCUUCUUGGAGCUAGCUGUGCUCGGCGUAGGCCUCGACCGCCAUGUUCCAAGAAACCAGGCCCCGCGUUGGAGCGCUGUCGAAGAGGUUCUUGGCAGUGUGGAGAUUUCCCGAUCUGGCAUGGCGGCGAUCAUGAUAUUCCAGGCGAUCACAUCCUUCCCGGGCAUAAUCUCAAACAAGAACAUUUCCUUGUCGAUCUCCCAGCUCCUCGCGUGCGUGACGAGCAUCGCGGUCCAUGAAACCACAUCUCUCCUCGGCAUUCUCUUGAAGAAAUGUCUCACCAUGGCCAGAUUUCCCUCCGCGGCAUACCUCUGUGCCAAGAUGUUCCAGGACACUUGAUCCUUCUCCGGCAUCGCGUCAAACAGUAAGGUCGCUUGAUCCAGGUCUCCACUCUGGUCUCCACUUUGCGUGUAAGCUGUGUUCUAGGCCACAACAUUCCGCUGUGGCAUCCGAUCGCACAUCCGCCGGCCCGCCUCCAAAUGCCUGGAUCUCGCUAGCGGUUCUACGAUCACGGUCUCGGCAAUCACGGCCUUGUAUGGCAUCCCAAGCGACUCCGCUUCCACGCAGGCCGCGAUCAUCAACGUCCACGACACAAUAUAACUACUACAACAGUCUCCUUUUUGGUCUCCCGUCACCUGUCUAUUUUACUGCCAUGCCAAAUUUCUCGUUUUGGUUUCCAGGUUCUUUGUGCAGGCGAAGUUCCGACUUCCAAGUGCCAGUGAGUGCUUCCAGGUUUUGGCCUUUAAAAUCCAUUAGUCCUUUAAAAACCUUUGGGCAGGAACUCAACUUGCAUCUUGUAAAAUGGAACGCAGAAACCACACAAAAUGCAUGAACUUUGGCUAAAAACUGCGUCUCCCCGACUACUGAGAAAACCUUCUAAUUGUAGUAUUCUUAGAGGGCCGUGUGCAGCUGUUUCUGCAUCUUUUGUUUUUGCAUAAGAGCCCACAACAACAAAGAGCCUGAUUAUAAGGACUGCAUUUGCAGCAACCCCUCAUGCAAUGGCGAGCUCUAGAAACUCAUUCCAUGAGAUGGUUUGGAAAUUGGAACUUGAGAAAGGCAGCAUGAGCAUUUCCUCAUGAAACCUUAUUAAAACAGCACCAAAGGAACAGGGUUAAAAAUUGACCACUAAUUACUUGAAUAAUAAUGCUUAUUAUUAUUAAUUAUUAAAAUUUUAUAAUUAUAAACAUAUUUAUAAUUUAUAAACACUGAUAUAGGAAUACAAGAAUGAAUGGACCAAAUUAAGUCUUAAAUGGACGACUUAUAACACAAAAUUAAUUUUAUUUAAAAUAAACUAGGAUAUACUAGGAAGUGUUAAGGAAAAAUUAUAAUUUAUAAAUAGAAGAUAAAUCUAAAUGAAUACCAAUUUGUUAGAUGGUAAAAUAUUCUAAAAUAUUCAAGCAUAUUCUAGAUAUAAAUUUUAUAACUAAAAACCUUUUUAUACAACUAAUCAUAUAUAUUUGUAUAUAUCUGUUAUAGGUGAAGCAGUUACAACUACUUCUAAUGCUCCAAGGUGUGUCCCAUUUUACUACUUACACUCAAGUUAAACUUUUGACCUAUUAAGAAAAAAUAGAAACAAACUACAAGUAAAAAAGAUUUUUAUUCUGGCUUAGUUAAUGCAUUAGAAGAAGAAAGCCAACAAUCAAUUCCUGAACAAGUUAAAUUGCUAAUCAGAAAAUGGAGAUUCAAUAAGGAUUGAUACAUCUUUGGGUUAGAGAUCCUACAGGUAAAAGUUUUAUAUUACAACUAGUUGAUUUAAGAUUUUGUAUUCAAUACAUUCAUAAAAUGUUUGUAGUCACAUGACUAAUAAUAAAAACUUGGCAGUCAAAAAGAAAUUCAAUUUUUAACCCUGCAUGAUGGUUGGAUAGAAAAUCCAAUCCAUUGCAAAUGUAUGUUAAGGCACCUAGUCUGCCUGCUACAAAUUGAUUGCAUAAAGUACGUAGCAAAGACGAACCUCCUCAAAGUCCACUCGGCAGUGUGGAAACUUUGAGCAUUCUUUUUAUUUACGUAACCUUAUGGAACAUCUUGUUGCACCGUUCAAGGUCUAGACGGGGAUGUUCCCCAAGGAGGUAAAUAAUUGUCCCCCACGCAGAAGAUUUCUCCAUUACGAAUGAGAGCGCAUCUACCACCUCUGUACUGCUGCCUGAUGGUGCAGCAAUUCUCACAGUGUUCCGGGAAUAGUACAUCGCCGCAUCGGAGGAUAGAGUCGGAAAGGCAUUCCUUCGUGCAAGCUGCAGGAAACACGUUUAGCGAACCCCCAUGAAAUGGAGACUCGACUCAGAUGAAUAAAGAUCGCUGGAUUCAGCAUUUUGCUUCCUUACCUUGAGCUUCUGUUUUUCCCAGCAGCACCAGCAGAGCUGCGAGCAGUAAGCAGAGCGAAAAUAAGUGAGACCUCAUUGUGGACGGCGAGGAGUAACAAGCGUUGCUUGAAUGCUUGCUUUCGUGGGGAGUUUAUAGUCAGCUGGAUUUUCUGCUGGAUAGAAAGUCCCU
rnacentral:lncRNA from 1 species